GCGGAUGUAGCUCAGUGGUAGAGCAUCUCCUUGCCAAGGAGAGGGUCGAGAGUUCGAAUCUCUUCAUCCGCUUCA
rnacentral:tRNA from 1 species